rnacentral:rRNA from 1 species
UGCCAGUAGUCAUAUGCUUGUCUCAAAGAUUAAGCCAUGCAAGUCUGAGUAUAAUUGUUUUACGGUGAAACUGCGAAUGGCUCAUUAAAUCAGUUAUAGUUUAUUUGAUGCUAUAGGCCGCAAGGCCACUACAUGGAUAUCUGUAGUAACAUAGAGCUAAUACAUGCAAUAUAGUCUGACUUUUUGGAAGGACUAGCACUUAUUAGAUAUUAAACCGAUCCCAGCAAUGGGUUUUUUGGUGAUUCAUAGUAACUGAACAAAUCACAUGGUCUUGUACCGGUGAUGUUUCAUUCAAAUUUCUGCCCUAUCAACUAGAUGGUAGUAUAUAGGACUACCAUGGUUGUAACGGGUAACGGAGGAUUAGGGUUUGAUUCCGGAGAAGGAGCAUGAGAAACGGCUACUAUUUCUAAGGAAAGCAGCAGGCG